UAUGAUGUAGUCAUGGCUGCCCUCU
rnacentral:piRNA from 1 species